rnacentral:rRNA from 1 species
GAUGAACGCUAGCGGCAGGCUUAACACAUGCAAGUCGAGGGGUAACAUAGAUUGCUUGCAAUCUGAUGACGACCGGCGCACGGGUGCGUAACGCGUAUACAAUUUGCCUUAUACAGGGGGAUAGCCUUUAGAAAUGAAGAUUAAUACCCCAUAGUAUUAUUUGAUGGCAUCAUUAUAUAAUUAAAGAUUUAUCGGUAUAAGAUGAGUAUGCGUCCUAUUAGCUAGAUGGUAAGGUAACGGCUUACCAUGGCUACGAUAGGUAGGGGUCCUGAGAGGGAGAUCCCCCACACUGGUACUGAGACACGGACCAGACUCCUACGGGAGGCAGCAGUGAGGAAUAUUGGACAAUGGGCGCAAGCCUGAUCCAGCCAUGCCGCGUGCAGGAAGACUGCCCCUAUGGGUUUGUAAAACUGCUUUUAUAUAGGAAGAACCACUCUCACGUGUGAGAGCUUGACGGUACUAUAUGAAUAAGCACCGGC